rnacentral:rRNA from 1 species
UGAGUAACGGCGAGCGAAACGGGAAGAGCCCAGCGCCGAAUCCCCCGCUCGCAAGGGCGCGGGGAAAUGUGGCGUUUAGGAGUGAGCGUGCCGGCGGCAGACUCUGCAGCAAGUCCCCCUGACCGGGGCUGUUGCCCACAGUGGGUGCGAGGCCCAUAGCUGCUAGGUCGACGCCGGAUGCGAUCUCCUUGGAGUCGAGUUGCUUGGGAGUGCAGCUCUAAUCGGGUGGUAAACUCCACCUAAGGCUAAAUACCGCCGUGAGACCGAUAGCAAACAAGUACCGUGAGGGAAAGUUGCAAAGAACUUUGAAGAGAGAGUUCAAAAGUACGUGAAACUGUUCAGAGGUAAACAGGUGGGCCCUCGAAAUCCUGUGGCGGGAGCAUUCAGCCGGGAAGACGAGACGCGCGCCGGGAGAUGGAGAAGAAGGUUCCCGUGACGGGGCCGUCCCGGCGCCGCGCUUCGAGUCCGACCGACGCAUUUGCUUCCCGUCCGAAGGACGCCGCAACCGGUUGGGUCGCGGCCUUAAGGGCGAGACGACGCAGUUGGCCGGCAGCCUUUCUCCGAUUGGCCGCCGGUUGUUAGCGGUCUCGUCGCACGGCACGCGUCCCGACCGUGGCAAGAAAGAGGCCUCUUUGGGCUUCGACGUCUCCUCCCCUUGGAAGCGGGUGUAGGUCCGUAGCAGGAGCACGACUGGACUGCGGGCGCACGGACCGACUCCGUGGCCCUGCGACUCGUCGGCUUCGUUGGCGGCGGUCGACCCGCGGGAGUGCU